rnacentral:rRNA from 1 species
GAUGAACGCUGGCGGCGUGCCUAAUACAUGCAAGUCGAGCGAAUGGAUUAAGAGCUUGCUCUUAUGAAGUUAGCGGCGGACGGGUGAGUAACACGUGGGUAACCUGCCCAUAAGACUGGGAUAACUCCGGGAAACCGGGGCUAAUACCGGAUAACAUUUUGAACCGCAUGGUUCGAAAUCGAAAGGCGGCUUCGGCUGUCACUUAUGGAUGGACCCGCGUCGCAUUAGCUAGUUGGUGAGGUACCGGCUCACCAAGGCAACGAUGCGUAGCCGACCUGAGAGGGGGAUCGGCCAAACUGGGACUGGAACACGGCACAGACUCCUACGGGAGGCAGCAGUAGGGAAUCUUCCGCAAUGGACGAAAGUCUGACGGAGCAACGCCGCGUGAGUGAUGAAGGCUUUCGGGUCGUAAAACUCUGUUGUUAGGGAAGAACAAGUGCUAGUUGAAUAAGCUGGCACCUUGACGGUACCUAACCAGAAAGCCACGGCUAACUACGUGCCAGCAGCCGCCGUAA